GACGAACGCUGGCGGCGUGCCUAAUACAUGCAAGUCGAACGAAGUGGCGAACGGGUGAGUAACGCGUAAUCAACCUGCCCUUCAGAGGGGGACAACAGUUGGAAACGACUGCUAAUACCGCAUACUGAAGGAGGGGAUUGCGUCUGAUUAGCGAGUUGGAGGGGGAACGGCCCACCAAGGCGAGGAUCGGUAGCCGGUCGUAGAGGUGGAACGGCCACAUUGGGACUGAGACACGGCCCAGACUCCUACGGGAGGCAGCAGUGGGGAAUCUUCCGCAAUGGACGAAAGUCUGACGGAGCAACGCCGCGUGAGUGAUGACGGCCUUCGGGUUGUAAAGCUCUGUUAAUCGGGACGCGGUACCGGAAUAGAAAGCCACGGCUAACUACGUGCCAGCCGCCGCGGUAAUUC
rnacentral:rRNA from 1 species